GGGAGCUCACAAUAGGAGCCCCUGAAGACUAGCUCUCAAAUCACCCUGAACCACCCACCCCUCAGAACCCAAGUGGCUCGCCUCCCCAGUGCUAGGGAGUCCCUCUGCUAAUAACGAGCUGUAUGGCAGCUGGGGGUAGAGCCUAGCCUGCGGUACUCCCCAGGAGCACCCCUGAACCGCUGUGCUGGCUUCGUAAGGGACAAAAGUCUAGGAAGCACCAAGGGUGGGGACCCCCGGGAAAACAAAGGCCAGGCCAGACUGUCCAGGGCAGGGACACUUCCUUAGGCAGCCAGCAGGAAGGAAGUGAGCCCAGCCCAGCCGGAUGGGAUGGAGUGGGGAAACUCUGCCCUGACGCCUCUAUUGUUUAUAGCUUUGGGGUCAGCUAAGCAGGUCCAGAACAGGGAGUUCCCCCGGGCAGGAUGGUGGUGUAGGAGAUAGGACACUGUCUGAUAUGGGGAGCCUUGGCCCCUGAACAGGACGCCCUGACCAAGGGGCCUUAAGCCUGACUUAUUACAGGGGAUGGAAAUCAGUCCACAGAACUGGGAGUCUAGGCUACCCAGGGUGAUCCUUCUGGAGACUUGACAAGUUCCAGCCCUGCAGCAAUUCAAGGCCAACUGCCCUGACCCUGGGUUGAUGAAUUCCUCCUUCCUAAUUGGAAGUUCUAGAGCUUAUGGCCAAAGGCUAGGCCUAGCAGAGAACCUGCUCACAGAAUACCCUGAGAGGUGUAGGCAGAAUGUGCAUUGGCAGCAGAGAGCUGAGGAAGUACUGGGUCGACAGAGCCUUACAACAGCAGCUGCAGCAGAAGCCUGAGCUCAUCUGACCCAUGGCUAACUGGGAAGAGGCAGGCUGAGCUGGAUGAAACGAAGAUUUUAAGACUCCCAGAGACCGUCUUUGCGGGAUUAUGGGAGAGCUUCUACCCAAGGGACAAGCCUCAGCCAACUCUUCUCUAAAGAGACCUUCUGGGCUGUCAGGAGCGGCACGCCACUUGCUUUUCCCCUCCCUUCGCUCUGAUGGGGACCCAAAACAUGACAGUCGUCCUGAAUGAAACGGGGGUGGGGGCGUUCCUCGCUCCCGGCUGUCCUCCCCAAGGCAGACACCCAUGCCCUUACCCGCGGCGCGUGAAUACGAAGGGGGGCACCGCUCGGGUUCGAGACCGCACCAAAGACUGCUCGGCGCCUGCCGCUUCGGGGCCGCCGCCCCCCGGGGUGGAGGCAAAGGGCCAGAGGCCCCGAGCUUUGGAGCCGCUGGCGCCCAUGUCAGCGCCGCGGGCGCAUGGCGGACCCAGCGGCCGCUCCGCUCUCACAGCGCGGCGGGCGCGACCAUGCCCUGCCCCAGCCUCCACUCACAGGUGCCGCCGCCGCCGCCGCCUUCCGCAGGCUCCGCUGUCUCCACGGAAACCUCACUUCCGCUUCCGCCCGCCCUGCACGCUGCUUCCUCUGAGUGGCUGAAGAGCUCGUCAGUCUGUGAAGUCGAACCAAUGGGCACCCUCGGAGGAUGAACACCCCAGGAUGCGCUGCCUCCAGGUCCCAGAAGGCUUUGGGUCCCGAGGGUCAGCUGGGCCAGCUCCCUCCCCGAAAAGCGGAGGUAAUGUGUUGUUAUGGACUUUAAGGUCGGGCCGGGUAGGAGUGUCCCAAAGUCCCUGACGCCCAACACUUGGGCCCAGUGGCAAUACUCAAUUAGGUCACCCCGCCACCCCCAAAGGGACUUUAGGCCUGCCUCAGGCUAGGAUACAUUUAGCUUGUUUUCACAACUGUUUUUGCAGUGGUUACCUUUGUACAUAAGGAAAUUAAGGAACUCGGUAAAUGUCUUUCGUUUUCUUGAGACAAGGUCUCACUAUGUGGCCUUAGCUGGCCUGGAACCUGCUGUGUAUAACAGGCUGGCUUCAAACUCAUGUCCACCUGCUUCUGCCUCCUAAAUGCUGGGAUUAAAGCAGGAGCAGCUAUGCAGGGGGCCAAAAUAUCUUUGAAAACUUUUUGGUCAAAUUUCUUAUGACUACAUUUGAGGUUAAAUUAAGUGUUGUAAAUGUACCAGAUAACACACUUCAGGAAAACAAGAAUUGGUUAGCAGCUGUACCCUGUAGCGUGUGGAAUGUUGUUUUGUAUUCAGGUAGUUAUUUGGUGAAGGGGUUAUUGCUAUGGUUUCUCUGAGGCACUAACUGAGAGAAAUAGUUCCCGUGUGCUCUACCUGUAGUUUAUUCUUGUCUCCACCAUGACCUGGGCCCCAAUGUUGACAGAUACCCAAAUCCAUAGGCAUAGAUCUCCUAACAUUGGUCCCACUGUGACCGUGGAAAGGAUGCACUGUGUGUGUGUGUGUGUGUGUCCAUCACUGUUGGCAGUCAUUCUCAUUAGGUCCUGCCCUGACUGUGGGCCCACAUCUACAGAGUCCAAAACCAGAAAAAUUCUUAAAUCUUUAUUCAGCCAAUUCUCUCAGGUCUCAGGCCCUGAUGAUGACUGUCACACCCCCAUCCCUUUCCCCACAGGAGGCAUUCAGUUGAGGCCACAAAGCAUUACAUACAUUCAUACACUUCCAUCAAAACUAUCUGAGGGAGACUCUGGCUUUGGCAAACAAGAAGUGGGUCUGGUUCAGCAACAUCUUCCUUAGAGGCGGCGCUGAGGCGUUGUGGCUGGACUUGCCAGCCUUCCCUGACCUCAGGGGAUGUGUAUAAGUCAUAAGGCACUGUAAGAGGAAACAGACCCUACCGUAACGCCUGUAUUAUUCUGAGCAGGUACCCUGGGCUCUGACUGGCUACCCUGAGACUUAUUCACCACCCAGAACAAUCUUUCUCCAUAGAUAAGGGCCCUCAGCCCUGCAAACAUAACCUGGUUCUGUUUGUAGAGUCUCUAAGAUUCUCACGGCUGAGACCCU